UACGUAGGAAGCGAGCGUUAUCCGAAUUUACUGGGCGUAAAGUGGGCGUAGGCGGCCUUUCAAGUUGGAUGUGAAAUCUCCCGGCUUAACUGGGAGGGGUCAUCCAAUACUGCUAGGCUAGAGGACGGCAGGGGAAAGUGGAAUUCCCGGUGUAGUGGUGAAAUGCGUAGAUAUCGGGAGGAACACCAGUGGCGAAGGCGGCUUUCUGGGCUGUUUCUGACGCUGAGGCCCUAAAGUGUGGGUAGCGAACAGGAUUAGAUACC
rnacentral:rRNA from 1 species